GAUGAACGCUGGCGGCGUGCCUAAUACAUGAAAGUCGAGCGAACGGACGAGAAGCUUGCUUCUCUGAUGUUAGCGGCGGACGGGUGAGUAACACGUGGAUAACCUACCUAUAAGACUGGGAUAACUUCGGGAAACCGGAGCUAAUACCGGAUAAUAUUUUGAACCGCAUGGUUCAAAAGUGAAAGACGGUCUUGCUGUCACUUAUAGAUGGAUCCGCGCUGCAUUAGCUAGUUGGUAAGGUAACGGCUUACCAAGGCAACGAUGCAUAGCCGACCUGAGAGGGUGAUCGGCCACACCGGAACUGAGACACGGUCCAGACUCCUACGGGAGGCAGCAGUAGGGAAUCUUCCGCAAUGGGCGAAAGCCUGACGGAGCAACGCCGCGUGAGUGAUGAAGGUCUUCGGAUCGUAAAACUCUGUUAUUAGGGAAGAACAUAUGUGUAAGUAACUGUGCACAUCUUGACGGUACCUAAACAGAAAGCCACGGCUAACUUCGUG
rnacentral:rRNA from 1 species